rnacentral:rRNA from 1 species
GAAGUCUUAGUGGCGCAGCUAACGCACUAAGUUGACCGCCUGGGGAGUACGGCCGCAAGGUUAAAACUCAAAUGAAUUGACGGGGGCCCGCACAAGCGGUGGAGCAUGUGGUUUAAUUCGACGCAACGCGAAGAACCUUACCUGGCCUUGACAUCCAGAGAACUUUCCAGAGAUGGAUUGGUGCCUUCGGGAACUCUGUGACAGGUGCUGCAUGGCCGUCGUCAGCUCGUGUCGUGAGAUGUUGGGUUAAGUCCCGUAACGAGCGCAACCCCUAUCCCUGGUUGCUAGCAGGUAAUGCUGAGAACUCCAGGGAGACUGCCGGUGACAAACCGGAGGAAGGUGGGGAUGACGUCAGGUCAUCAUGGCCCUUACGGCCAGGGCUACACACGUGCUACAAUGGCGCGUACAGAGGGCUGCGAACUCGCGAGAGUAAGCCAAUCCCUUAAAACGCGUCGUAGUCCGGAUCGGAGUCUGCAACUCGACUCCGUGAAGUCGGAAUCGCUAGUAAUCGCGAAUCAGAAUGUCGCGGUGAAUACGUUCCCGGGCCUUGUACACACUGCCCGUCACACCAUGGGAGUGGAUUGCACCAGAAGUGGUUAGUCUAACCUUCGGGAGGACGAUCACCACGGUGUGGUUCAUGACUGGGGUG